rnacentral:tRNA from 1 species
GGAACGGUAGCUCAGCGGUAGAGCAUCGCCUCCACACCACCUUGCCCCUCAGGGCCGACCGUGAAGGCUUAUCGACUACCUAUCGAAGGUCGUGGGUUCGAUUCCCACCCGUUCCACCA